UACUAACAGUCCACAUACCUCUAUGAAAGCAUAAUGCUCAAGACACGGUACAGCCAACCUACACUGUCUGCUGACCUACCUGUUUUGGAGAGCCAAACAAAACUCUGGAGCCUACUACAUCCGUUUUCAACACUAAUUGCUUCAGAGGAAAACAACGUGCUCCUCCUCUUCAUCAAUUUUAGUCCUGCUGGCUAAGGAAGUGAAAGACUAGACCAGAGAAGAGAACCAAAGCUACUGUGGCAAUUUUCAUGUACCGAUCAAACCUAGGAGUAAGUUAUGUAUCUAAUAUAGGAACAAACGAAACAGGAAUUGGUUCCGAUCUUCCUAUAGAAAUGCAGCUCGACAUUCUGAGAUGCUUUUGCUAAAUUCCAUCAUUUUGUGGCUGCAGUCUUUAUGAAGGAAGGGGCAGGCAGCACCACCAGGGAGUGAUACAGGCAAGCAGUCACGGUAAGUAGUUUAUAAGCCUUCAAACAGACAUUUAAGGUACCCAGAGGACUGCACUGACCGACAGACAUAAUGCACAUCAUAACAGUUUGCCAUGUUCCACUGUGUGAAGCAGACCAUCCUCCACCCUGCCCCCUUUAUGGUGACUGUAUGUUAUAAACACCAACUGGUUAACUUGAGCAAAGCACCUGAACGUGGAUAGCAUUCCCUUUCUGUGGGGCAAAACAGCACUUUUGUAUUCCUGAAUGCAGUUGCCAUUUCCAAGCACUAUACGCAGUUCUGUUAGUUUUACCCUCUUGCUGAACAUAAUUACAAGGGCAUUAAAUCUCCUUGCUCCUUUUUACUGAAGGGACCAGUGAACUUAGAGAUGCCUCCAUGAUCAUUGUGGAUACCUUUACGGAACUUACUUUACACUAAUAGUGUUGUUUUAGGUUGGAUAAAGCACAUCAUACUGCUGUGAAGUAAAUGGCAAGCUGGGGAAAAUGAGAAAUACUUAAGCAUCAUAAAAUAUCCA